rnacentral:rRNA from 1 species
UACCACAGCCAUAUCACCCUGCAGCCCAAGACCGGUUACUCACUGAAGCUAAGCUGGCCUGAGCCUAGUUAGUACCUGGAUGGGAGACCACUAGGGAACACUAGGUUGCUGUUGGAA